rnacentral:lncRNA from 1 species
ACGAACAAAGUAACGUACGAAAUAACUGGAGCCUGACCAAUAAUCUGAUAAUAAUAAUAACAAUAAUAAUAAUAAUAAUGGCCAAUAUACAUAUAUACAUAUAUAUAUAUAUAUAUAUAUAUAUAUAUAUAUAUAUAUAUAUAUAUAUAUACAUACAUAUAUUUAUAAUUGUGUCAGUGAUUCCUAAGAUGUCUUUAUCAAACCCUUAUGACCCUCAUUGUACCCUUAUUUAACAUUAACACUUAAAUUGAGUCUUGAUAUUUUACAGUUUAACCAGUGGCAGUCCUGUGGGAGGAAGCCAUCGAUGAGGCAUUUGAAAGGAAAAGGUUGCGAUAUGCAAACUUGGCUGCCAAAGCAGAGGACCGGGGCUGGAAAGUAAACGUGCGUCCAGUGCAAGUGGGCUGCAGGGGCUUUGUAGCUAGUUCCACCACAAGGCUACUAAAAGAGCUUGGAAUCAGAGGACAGGCUCAGCGGAAGACCAUCAAAGACUGUCAGCUGUCAGCUGUGGCUGAAGCGGAAGGAGACUGUAUGGGCUGCCAAGUGACCUCAUGGAGCCUCCAGUGCGACACACACCCAGGUCUGUGUCUCAGCCUGCGGUGGGCCAGCCUUGGGUGAGGGUGUAUUGUGAUAAAAGGCCGAAACACCCAAUGAGGCCGGGGUGCACAACUGAUGAGGUGUCGUAUUGGAGGCACCAGGCGGUCAUCCCCCAAUCCAACCCCACCCAAGAGGACAUCUCCAACAACAGCGCUUGUGCUGAAUAUCAAGGGAUUCUAACAUCUAGUCCUAUGGGAUCAAUGGAAGAUGAAUGGAAGAUGAAUGGAGGGAGGGAACGACAUGGACAGAGACAGAUCUCACAUUUCAAAGACACGACAAACAAGGAAGCACAAAGCUGCAAAGAAACGUUUGAAACACCCGGGACGUAG